AAUUUAAGGAAGAAUUUAAAAAAGGAAUCUCUUCAAUUAUGUAAUAAAUUGUCUCGAGAUUUCCACCAGAAAUCUCACAAACGAAGUGAUACAGUUUCUGGGAAAACGAAUCAAGGGACGUUGUAAGCGGGUGCAGAAUUGGCAAGAAAGAAGAAGAAAGGCAGCACGGAAUGUAAUAUCCAAUGGAUGGGUAAUAAAAAUUGACACGCGAGCGUCUGGGACGGUUUCUAUCCUGUUUUAUGGUUCAAUUCGACGAUGGUCGUAUACCACCUCGUGGCUGUUCGCGGUUCUGUGGCUGCGUGACGUUUACUACUACCACGCUGACACACAGUCGUUGACAUAAAUCAUCCUCGAGUUGACCCCUUUUUAAUCGCCAUUACACAACGUGCACGAGAAAACGCCUGAUGAAACCGCAACGUUUCACGUUCCAUAUGGCGGCUCUGCGAAGACACCUUCAGCUUUGGAAGUUCGGAGAUUAGAAAUCUAGGAAAUUUGGGAUCUUGAAAUUCUGGAAAUUCGAGAGAUUGAGAAUUGUAAUUUGGAAGAAUAUGCAAUAAUUUCCUGUUACCUGAAUGUGCACCCUCACCGCCCACAAGCUUCACGGCGCCCUCCUGUUUCUUCAAUUUCCGGAAGUCCUUGCGCAGCUUCUUCACCAUACGCGCCUUCUUCUCCCGAAUCUUGUCCCAGGUGCUAUUAAACCCAAGACACACAUCUGGCAAAAUUAACAUAGUCAAGAACCCAAGAAAAAUGAACCUUCUCCACUUCAUCAUCGACCCCGGUCACUCAACCACUAACAUAAUCUAGUAAUCGUCUGAAACGAAAUUAUCAUUCUAUUAACAUCGGUAACAAAUCUUUCCUUUGAAGACGGUGUUAAAAUCACGCCACGUGUAUUUCGUUUACAGAGUAUCACGAGAGACUGGUUACGUUGAUCACGCGAUGGAAUAUCCAAUCUUUGCUCCAGCUGGAAGGCGAGAGCGAUCUCGAAGAGUUACGCGUCUACAGUGGAACACUUUGGACGAUCAGCACAUGGUAGAUCGCUUUUUCUAGCCUCCCUUCCUUUUCCUUCUCGACGUGGGAUCCGAUGGAUCCAUUCGACAGCUUACGUUGAGUCAGUCUGAUGGAAUUGGCAGAUUUCCUCCAUUUCAUUGAUUCAGAUGUUACAAGGACUUUUAGCGAGAUUAAUUUAAUAUACGGACUCCAUUUAUAGCUGCUGAUCAUUCUGUUAAUUGCGGAAGAGGACUUGAUUCAGCGACUCAACUAUAAUUUUUCAAUAUUCUUUUACGUUGCUGAAGUUUACUUCUGACAAGAUCCCUCUUCGACUCAAACGUUCCAGGAUGAUGAAGCUUUCAGGAUUUUUCGAAUUCCUUCCAAAGUUUUGAGUGUUUACUAUCGUUUAUCAUGUUACAUGGUCCAUCGACUGUAUUUAGUCGAAAGAUAAGGCCUGUAAACACCUCAUACAUUGUACCCGAUGAUUCAAAAAGCGAGCACGGGGUUUUUUCUCGGACGAAUCCAACAUCUCGAGUAUCAUCCGUCAGCGGCGAGCAAGGCAAUUCGAUCUGAAGAAAAAGAUCCGAAGCUUAGAAGAAAGCCAUGGUGGCCUGUGGAGUGUGGUUCUCGUUACUCGAUACACCGGUCUCCUAUCGUUUGCAUAAUCGUGGGUCACCGAUCGUUUAUACUGUGGACGCGGUCAAAAAUUGCUAGCCUUAUUAUCAGAUUUCCAAUAAUCAAAUGUUUGUGAACUAUGAAUGAAUUUAACUAUUAAUGAAAUCUUAAUGAGAUGUUCAGAAAAUACUAAUGAGAUGCUCCAGACUAGGAUAAUCGAGAGGUAACAACGUGUAAGAUAUUGAAGAAAGAAGAGGUUGAAUAUCAUAGAUAGGUCGGAUGGUUGGCUUCGCUCAAACUUUU